rnacentral:rRNA from 1 species
CAAAGCUGAAACUUAAAGGAAUUGACGGAAGGGCACCACCAGGAGUGGGGCAUGCGGCUCAAUUUGACUCAACACGGGGAAACUUACCCGGCCCGGACACUGGAAGGAUUGACAGAUUAAGAGCUCUUUCUUGAUUCAGCGGAGGGUGGUGCAUGGCCGUUCUUAGUUGGUGGAGCGAUUUGUCUGGUUAAUUCCGAUAACGAGCGAGACUCUAACCUACUAAAUAGGCGUUCCGAUCAUUUUAGUCGGACGUUCUUCUUAGAGGGACAGGCGGCGUUUAGCCGCACGAAACAGAGCAAUAACAGGUCUGGUAUGCCCUUGGAUGUUCGGGGCCGCACGCGCGCCACACUGAAGGAAUCAGCAUGUGCUUUCCCUGUCCGGUAGGACUGGGUAACCCUCUGAACCUCCUUCGUGAUAGGGAUAGGGGCUUGUAAUUAUUCCCCUUGAACGAGGAAUUCCCAGUAAGCACGAGUCAUCAGCUCGUGUUGAUUACGUCCCUGCCCUUUGUACACAUCGCCCGUCGCUACUACCGAUUGAAUGAUUUAGUGAGGUCUUCGGACUGGCGCUCGGAGUGGCUUUUGCUACGCCGAUGUGCCGGAAAGAUGAUCAAACUUGAUCAUUUAGAGGAAGUAAA